GACGAACGCUGGCGGCGUGCUUAACACAUGCAAGUCGAACGGAAAGGCCCUGCUUUUGUGGGGUGCUCGAGUGGCGAACGGGUGAGUAACACGUGAGUAACCUGCCCUUGACUUUGGGAUAACUUCAGGAAACUGGGGCUAAUACCGGAUAGGAGCUCCUGCUGCAUGGUGGGGGUUGGAAAGUUUCGGCGGUUGGGGAUGGACUCGCGGCUUAUCAGCUUGUUGGUGGGGUAGCGGCUUACCAAGGCUUUGACGGGUAGCCGGCCUGAGAGGGUGACCGGCCACAUUGGGACUGAGAUACGGCCCAGACUCCUACAGGAGGCAGCAGUGGGGAAUAUUGCACAAUGGGCGGAAGCCUGAUGCAGCAACGCCGCGUGCGGGAUGACGGCCUUCGGGUUGUAAACCGCUUUCGCCUGUGACGAAGCGUGAGUGACGGUAAUGGGUAAAGAAGCACCGGCUAACUACGUG
rnacentral:rRNA from 1 species